rnacentral:rRNA from 1 species
UAAUACGUAGGUGGCAAGCGUUGUCCGGAAUUAUUGGGCGUAAAGCGCGCGCAGGCGGCUUCUUAAGUCUGAUGUGAAAGCCCACGGCUCAACCGUGGAGGGUCAUUGGAAACUGGGAGGCUUGAGUGCAGAAGAGGAGAGCGGAAUUCCACGUGUAGCGGUGAAAUGCGUAGAGAUGUGGAGGAACACCAGUGGCGAAGGCGGCUCUCUGGUCUGUAACUGACGCUGAGGCGCGAAAGCGUGGGUAGCGAACAGGAUUAGAUACCCUGGUAGUCCACGCCGUAAACGAUGAGUGCUAAGUGUUAGGGGGUUUCCGCCCCUUAGUGCUGCAGCAAACGCAUUAAGCACUCCGCCUGGGGAGUACGGCCGCAAGGCUGAA